CGGCAACAGCUCAAAUUUGAAAUCUGGCCCCAGGCCCGAGUUGUAAUUUGCAGAGGAUGCUUUUGGCGCGGUGCCUUCCAAGUUCCCUGGAACGGGACGCCACAGAGGGUGAGAGCCCCGUCAGGUCGUGCAACCAAGCCUUUGUAAAGCUCCUUCGAC
rnacentral:rRNA from 1 species